UGGGGAAUCUUGGACAAUGGGCGCAAGCCUGAUCCAGCCAUGCCGCGUGGAUGAUGAAGGCCUUAGGGUUGUAAAAUCCUUUCGUUGGGGACGAUAAUGACGGUACCCAAAGAAGAAGCUCCGGCUAACUUCGUGCCAGCAGCCGCGGUAAUACGAAGGGGGCUAGCGUUAAUCGGAAUUACUGGGCGUAAAGCGUGCGUAGAUGGCCGAUUAAGUCGGAUGUGAAAGCCCCGGGCUCAACCUGGGAACGGCAUCCGAUACUGGUGGGCUAGAGUGCGGUAGAGGAGAGCGGAAUUCCCGGUGUAGCGGUGAAAUGCGUAGAGAUCGGGAGGAACAUCCGUGGCGAAGGCGGCUCUCUGGACCAGCACUGACGUUGAGGCACGAAAGCGUGGGGAGCAAACAGGAUUAGAUACCCAGGUAGUCCCUGAGCGGGCUGGCAAGGCGCAU
rnacentral:rRNA from 1 species